rnacentral:tRNA from 1 species
GCGGCGGUAGUUCAGCUGGUAGAACGCCUCCCUUCCAAGGAGGAGGUCGCGGGUUCAAAUCCCGUCCGCCGCUC